UAAAACCCCGUUCUGUCUAGUUAAGCAACUAUACAGUGAAACUGCGAAUGGCUCAUUAAAUCAGUUAUCGUUUAUUUGAUAGUACCUUACUACUUGGAUAACCGUGGUAAUUCUAGAGCUAAUACAUGCUAAAAAUCCCGACCUCUGGAAGGGAUGUAUUUAUUAGAUAAAAAACCAAUGCCUUCGGGCUCCUUGGUGAUUCAUGAUAACUUAACGAAUCGUAUGGCCUUGCGCCGGCGAUGGUUCAUUCAAAUUUCUGCCCUAUCAACUUUCGAUGGUAGGAUAGUGGCCUACCAUGGUUUCAACGGGUAACGGGGAAUUAGGGUUCGAUUCCGGAGAGGGAGCCUGAGAAACGGCUACCACAUCCAAGGAAGGCAGCAGGCGCGCAAAUUACCCAAUCCCAAUUCGGGGAGGUAGUGACAAUAAAUACUGAUACAGGGCUCUUUUGGGUCUUGUAAUUGGAAUGAGUACAAUUUAAAUCCCUUAACGAGGAACAAUUGGAGG
rnacentral:rRNA from 1 species